rnacentral:lncRNA from 1 species
CUUAGUCUAUGGUUUUUCAACUGUUUGAUACCUGUCCAUUACUUUGCAGGGCUUAGAAUCUGACUGUAUCAUGGUGUCUGUUGAACUGUGACUAAUGGCUGCAUCACAGAACUGGUUUACCAGGUCACCUCGGCUGUAGCUGCCUCCAAAGAAAAAACCUGUUGUGGAAUGUGCAAGCUGGUGUUUAAUACAUGAGCCCUUCGCAGCAGGUUGAGCAAUAAGAAGUAAGUAGAUAUUUAUCCAGUCUGACAUUGGUAAAUAGUCACCCCCCGCUCCUCCUGCAGCCGCUGAUCGUUCUCAUUCCAGUUCUGCGUGUAUUUCUGUGUUGUUCAGCUCCACCAUCAGCCAUGCAGCUGUCCCUGGGUGUAAUGAGGCCUUUCUGACCUGAUCCUAACACGGACCCUCUGAUUGCUCACCUGGACCAGUAACAGCUGGCCACUGAACAGCAUUUAAUGGCCAUGGUCAGAGACUCCAUGUAUGGGACUCUGCUGGCAUCGCUUUAGGAAGGGGAGGGGAUUGGCUACUGAGGUUGACUAGCUCAAAGCAACACAGAUAUAACUAAAAAAACUGUGUUAUAUCACGUGCUCAUCUACUGCCUGGAUUCCACCUCCUGCUGCAGGCACUGCCGCUUCCCUGCAUGCCCUGGGAACUGCAGAAGGUUCAGGUGCUAUGGGGCUACAAAGAAAAUCUGAUCUGCUUCAGCUUCUUCUAUGCUCUUUGCCGGGUCACUUCUUAGGAAUAAGCCUGGUACCUGAGGGCAGGUCGCUGGAUGGCGGUUUCUUACUGCCCUGCAGCUGGGGAAGGAGUUUGCAGCCCUUCUGCUGAGAACACAGGGCUGGGUCUGCAGCAACUAAAAAGACUGGAAGAUUUCUUCAAAUUCCUGCAUUGCUGUGAGCUGACACAAGGACACGGGGCUCCAUACGGUAACCAGCAGAUCUGCAGUGCAGGGAAAGUGAUUUCUUGA